AGCGAACGCUGGCGGCAGGCCUAACACAUGCAAGUCGAACGAAGUCUUCGGACUUAGUGGCGGACGGGUGAGUAACACGUGGGAACGUGCCUUUAGGUUCGGAAUAACUCAGGGAAACUUGUGCUAAUACCGAAUGUGCCCUUCGGGGGAAAGGUUUAUCGCCUUUAGAGCGGCCCGCGUCUGAUUAGCUAGUUGGUGAGGUAAAGGCUAACCAAGGCUACGAUCAGUAGCUGGUCUGAGAGGAUGAACAGCCACAUUGGGACUGAGACACGGCCCAAACUCCUACGGGAGGCAGCAGUGGGGAAUUUUGCGCAAUGGGCGAAAGCCUGACGCAGCGACGCCGCGUGAGGGAUGACGAUUUUCGGAUUGUAAACCUCUGUCAGUGGGAAAGAGUAGGGACGGUACCUACUGAGGAAGCCUCGGCUAACUACGUGCCAGCCGCCGCAGUAACAC
rnacentral:rRNA from 1 species